CCGUAUGCAGAACGGACAGCAGGGCUAUUUCCCCACCACUUACGUGACCACGCUGUGCCCGAAAGAUGAGCCUGCGAGAGUGGUCCCGAGCUCAUUAAAGCGGAGUUCAGUCCAGGACGUGGCUGCAGAUGUCCUUGGUGGUUGCGCGGGCCGACGCAAGCUGCGGUCCCAGAGGAGCAGGGAGGAGGAGGGCUUUUUCCGGGCUCUGAGGCCCGAGGGCCCUCUCCCGCUCACCGAGGACCACACCCAGGGCUCCCCCAGCCUGCUGCACCGCUUCCU